rnacentral:rRNA from 1 species
UACGUAGGGGGCAAGCGUUGUCCGGAUUUAUUGGGCGUAAAGAGCGUGUAGGCGGCUUGGUAGGUCCGCUGUGAAAACUCGAGGCUCAACCUCGAGAUGUCGGCGGAAACCACUUGGCUAGAGUCCGGAAGAGGAGACUGGAAUUUACGGUGUAGCGGUGAAAUGCGUAGAUAUCGUAAGGAAGACCAGUGGCGAAGGCGGGUCUCUGGACAGUUCCUGACGCUGAGGCACGAAGGCCAGGGGAGCAAACGGG